GUGAGUGGUUUCAUAGUAAUAUGGGUUCAAAUGCUUUCUAGUUUUUAUGGGUUUUUUGUUUUGUUUUGUUUUGCUAUUCAUUAUUAUUUUUUAGUGGUCCACCUUAAGGGUUUCUAUCCAGUGUUCACAAGCUGCUGUUGUUCAUGGUGUCACAUGAGAUUCAGACAAUUUCUCAUCACCGGCCCACAGUUUGAAGGCACGAUCUUUCAUGGCAGAGGAGGCAUGGUGGUGGGGACAGAAGGUACCUGGUCACUUGGCAUCUGCAAGCAGGAAACAAAGAGAGGGGGAAGAGAUGGUGACAGACGGCCAGACAGGAAGCUGAGAGAUCAUUUCUCAACCACACACAGGAAGCAGAAAUCAAACAGGAAGUGGAGCGUGGCUCUAAACCCUUGGAACCCUACUCCGAUGUAGUACUUCCUUCAACACGGCUGAACCUUCUAGAGGGUUAUGUAACCUCCCAAAAUAGCACCAGGAAGAAGUUAUAGCAGGAACUCACAGCAUGGCAGAAACCUGGAGGCAGGAACUGUUGCAGAACCUGUGGAGGAAUAUGCCACUUACUGGCUUGCUCUCACGGCUUGUUCAGCAGCCUUCUUCCUUACAGGGAUGGCACCAUUUAUAAUGAAUGGGUUGGAUCCUCCCACAUUAAUUAAGAAAAUGCCCUACAGGACUGUCUACAAUGGAGGCAUUUCCUCAUUUGGGCUUCUCUCCUCUCAGAUGGCUCAAAUUAACCAGCACACAUGGGAAGAUAUUGGGAAUGAAUGUACCUUCGUUUAGCUCUAACUCUUGAAGUUGAAUCAUGUAACAAUGAACAAAACCACUAGACUUAGAGUCCUGUGGUAGCAUCUUGCUUUGCCAGUGAACUUGUAGUAGCAUCCACAUCUUUGGGUGUGGCUUCAGGUGGCAGUGGUGGGCAUGAGCUCUCCUGGGUCGCUGAGAGCGUUGGAAGGGCAGAGACUGCGUCUUCUGGAGCAGGAAAGCCACGACGGUAAUUUACUCUUAUCUGUGUAAGUUCUUCCCUAAUAAAACACCUAUUUAUCAUU